AGAGUUUGAUCAUGGCUCAGAUUGAACGCUGGCGGCAUGCUUUACACAUGCAAGUCGAACGGCAGCACGGGGGCAACCCUGGUGGCGAGUGGCGAACGGGUGAGUAAUAUAUCGGAGCGUACCCGGAAAUGGGGGAUACGUAGCGAAAGUCACGCUAAUACCGCAUAUGCCCUAAGGGGGAAAGCGGGGGAUUCGCAAGAACCCCGCGUUUUCGGAGCGGCCGAUAUCGGAUUAGCUAGUAGGUGAGGUAAAGGCUCACCUAGGCGACGAUCCGUAGCUGGUCUGAGAGGACGACCAGCCACACUGGAACUGAGACACGGUCCAGACUCCUACGGGAGGCAGCAGUGGGGAAUUUUGGACAAUGGGCGCAAGCCUGAUCCAGCCAUGCCGCGUGAGUGAAGAAGGCCUUCGGGUUGUAAAGCUCUUUCAGCCGGAAAGAAAACGCACGGGUUAAUAACCUGUGUGGAUGACGGUACCGGAAGAAGAAGCACCGGCUAACUACGUG
rnacentral:rRNA from 1 species